UUAGAUAAAUAACAGCUCUUUAAUUAUUUUCAUACAACAGAUUAAAUGAAGAUUUACUAUAAAGUAUGAUACCUUCGCCUUUCCUGUUAGGAAAAUUAAACUAGUACUAAAUUUUGACAGUUGAAGACAGUUCCAAAUUUUGACAAUGAAAGUAGAAAUUCUGCAGCAAAUUCAAAAUAAAAUCAUAAAUUUUCGUCCCAUUCAUUACCUAAUAUUAUACAAAACAUAAACGUGAAGUGAAAUGAAAGAAGUAACAGCAGCACCUCGUGACUGCUUAGCCUGCAGAAUUGUUGGAUCAGUAGGUCUUAUCGGAAUUGGAGGCUAUUUGGCCAAUUGCUCAUGGAAACAAAAAACCAUCCUCGGGAAAUACGCAAUGUCUUUUGGCUCUUUUGGUUUCAUUUGCCUUGGAAUAGCGAGGUACAAGCAAACAUUCCCAUUUCACAAAAAACCUGCGGAAAUCUGAAUGAGGCUAUUAUUUUGUAAAUAUUGUAUGAAGGUGUGAAUUAGUGUAUUUAAAAAUAAGUGAAGGAUUGAAUUAAGUUAACAAUGAAGAUGCACAAUGUCAUUUGUAUUAAAAAGUGAUUACGUAGUAACGCCAUCUCUUGACACUUCAAGUAAUCAAAUUGCCGUUCAAAAUCCUGAAACCAAACCCGAAUGGGUACACAAAUUAAUCAGAGAUGGCGACCUAUUACAUUAAGUAUAAAUGUUAUUUCUUUACAAUUGCAUGUAAAUUUGCCUCAUAACGAUAACGAUUAUAUGUAAACAAUAAAAAAUAUUAUUAUAGUCAAGUGA